GAUUCUGUCUUGGUUGCCAAAGCCUAACCCCAGAUGAACUGCUUCCUCUUUGUCCAGCUGAGAAUUCGAUGUCCCAUUUGCUAGUACAGAACGCUCUUCCCUGCUUCUCCUUUGGAUAUUUCAGAAACGAAAGAAAGCCUUUUUUAGUUGUAAGGAGGGGGACUUUUGGAGUAUAGAGUCUUGGAUUUUGGUCCUGGCUCUGCCACUUUCUGUGUGUCCUUGAGCAAAUUCAUUGUCUUCUAGCUUUAGCUUACCUUUGCAUAACAUGGGUGAGUGCCUUCUGACCAGCAGGCUCUUGUCCAGUUCUUCCUUACUGUCCUCCAGCAGGCACUCCACAGAGGCCCAGACCCCUCUGCUCCCCAUGGGCAGCUGCCAGGCAGGGCACAACUUGCAUCUCUGUCUGGCUCAUCACCCACCUUUGGUCUGUGCCACUUUGAUCCUGCUGCUCCUUGGCCUCUCAGGUCUGGGCCUUGGUGGCUUCCUCCUCACCCACACAACUGGCCUUCGUAGCCCUGACAUUCCCCAGGAUUGGGUUACCUUCUUGAGAUCUUUUGGCCAGCUAAGUCUGUGCCCCAUGAAUGAGACAGUCACAGGGAAGUGGCAAGGGCCUCACGUCGUCGGCUUACUGACCACUUUGAACUUCGGAGGUGAUCCAGACAGAAACAAAACCCAAACAUUCCAAGCCAUGAUCCCUGGUAGUCAGAUAGGAUUUAAAGAGAUUGCCGGAGAGUCUGUCCUUGUUACAGCCAGAGUGGCCUCAGGAAGGACUCCAGGGACCUGCCUGUAUUUUAGUGGUAUUCCAAAAAUUCUGCCCUCUAGCCAACCACCUAUAUCCUGCUCAGAAGAGGGAGCUGGAAAUGCUACCCUGAGCCCAAUGAUGGGUGAGGAGUGUGUCAUAGUCUGGAGCCACGAACGCUUUGUGCUCACCA
rnacentral:lncRNA from 1 species